GGAGAGGUGGCUGAGCGGUCGAAAGCAGUUGCCUGCUAAGCAACUGGCCUGGGUAACUGGGCCCCAGGGUUCGAAUCCCUGCCUCUCCG
rnacentral:tRNA from 1 species